GCCUUCGUGGUGUAGUGGUCAGCAUUUUGGCACAUAUUCGAGAGGUCAGUGGUUCGAGUCCCGGCGAAGGCA
rnacentral:tRNA from 1 species